UACGGGGGGAACGAGCGUUGUUCGGAUUUACUGGGCGUAAAGGGCACGCAGGCGGGGAGACAAGUCAGAUGUGAAAACCCAAAGCUUAACUCUGGGCCUGCAUUUGAUACUGUUUCUCUUGAGUACGGGAGAGGAUAGCGGAAUUCUUGGUGUAGCGGUGAAAUGCGUAGAUAUCAAGAAGAACACCGGUGGCGAAGGCGGCUAUCUGGCCCGAUACUGACGCUCAUGUGCGAAGGCAAGGGGAGCAAAC
rnacentral:rRNA from 1 species